AUUGAACGCUGGCGGCAUGCUUUACACAUGCAAGUCGAACGGCAGCACGGACUUCGGUCUGGUGGCGAGUGGCGAACGGGUGAGGAAUACAUCGGAACGUACCCAGUAAUGGGGGAUAACUAUCCGAAAGGAUAGCUAAUACCGCAUACGCCCUACGGGGGAAAGAGGGGGAUCGCAAGACCUCUUGUUAUUGGAGCGGCCGAUGGCUGAUUAGCUAGUUGGUGAGGUAAAGGCUCACCAAUGCGACGAUCAGUAGCGGGUCUUAGAGGACGAUCCGCCACACUGGAACUGGGACACGGUCCAGACUCCUACGGGAGGCAGCAGUGGGGAAUCUUGGACAAUGGGCGCAAGCCUGAUUCAGCAAUGCCGCGUGCGUGAAGAAGGCCUUCGGGUUGUAAAGCGCUUUUGUCAGGGAGCAAAGCCGUGUGGCGAAUACCCACCGGGGAUGAGAGUACCUGAAGAAUAAGGACCGGCUAACUACGUGCCAGCCGCCGCAGUAAGAC
rnacentral:rRNA from 1 species